AACGAACGCUGGCGGCAGGCCUAACACAUGCAAGUCGAACGCUCCAGCAAUGGAGAGUGGCAGACGGGUGAGUAACACGUGGGAACCUUCCCUUUGGUUCGGAAUAGCCCAGGGAAACUUGGGGUAAUACCGGAUAAGCCCUUGCGGGGAAAGAUUUAUCGCCGAAGGAUGGGCCCGCGUCGGAUUAGCUAGUUGGUGGGGUAACGGCCUACCAAGGCGACGAUCCGUAGCUGGUCUGAGAGGAUGAUCAGCCACACUGGGACUGAGACACGGCCCA
rnacentral:rRNA from 1 species